UACGAAGGGGGCUAGCGUUGUUCGGAAUCACUGGGCGUAAAGGGCGCGUAGGCGGCUUUGUAAGUCGGGGGUGAAAGCCUGUGGCUCAACCACAGAAUUGCCUUCGAUACUGCAUGACUUGAGACCGGAAGAGGUAAGUGGAACUGCGAGUGUAGAGGUGAAAUUCGUAGAUAUUCGCAAGAACACCAGUGGCGAAGGCGGCUUACUGGUCCGGUUCUGACGCUGAGGCGCGAAAGCGUGGGGAGCAAACAGG
rnacentral:rRNA from 1 species